CCUACGGGGGGCAGCAGUGGGGAAUAUUGCACAAUGGGGGAAACCCUGAUGCAGCGACGCCGCGUGAGUGAAGAAGUAUUUCGGUAUGUAAAGCUCUAUCAGCAGGGAAGAAAAAAGACGGUACCUGACUAAGAAGCCCCGGCUAACUACGUCCCAGCAGCCGCGGUAAUACGUAGGGGGCAAGCUUUGUCCGGAUUUACUGGGUGUAAAGGGAGCGUAGGGGGCAGGGCAAGUCAGAUGUGAAAACCCGGGGCUCAACUCCGG
rnacentral:rRNA from 1 species